UGCUCCCUGAAGUCAGCGGCGGACGGGUGAGUAACACGUGGGCAACCUGCCUGUAAGACUGGGAUAACUUCGGGAAACCGGAGCUAAUACCGGAUAAUGCACAGCCUCUCAUGAGGCUAUGCUGAAAGAUGGUUUCGGCUAUCACUUACAGAUGGGCCCGCGGCGCAUUAGCUAGUUGGUGAGGUAACGGCUCACCAAGGCAACGAUGCGUAGCCGACCUGAGAGGGUGAUCGGCCACACUGGGACUGAGACACGGCCCAGACUCCUACGGGAGGCAGCAGUAGGGAAUCUUCCGCAAUGGACGAAAGUCUGACGGAGCAACGCCGCGUGAGUGAUGAAGGUUUUCGGAUCGUAAAACUCUGUUGUCAGGGAAGAACAAGUGCCGGAGUAACUGCCGGCACCUUGACGGUACCUGACCAGAAAGCCACGGCUAACUACGUGCCAGCAGCCGCGGUAAUACGUAGGUGGCAAGCGUUGUCCGGAAUUAUUGGGCGUAAAGCGCGCGCAGGCGGUCUCUUAAGUCUGAUGUGAAAGCCCACGGCUCACCCGUGGAGGGUCAUUGGAAACUGGGGGACUUGAGUGCAAAAGAGGAAAGUGGAAUUCCACGUGUAGCGGUGAAAUGCGUAGAGAUGUGGAGGAACACCAGUGGCGAAGGCGACUUUCUGGUCUGUAACUGACGCUGAGCGCGAAAGCGUGGGGAGCAAACAGGAUUAGAUACCCUGGUAGUCCACGCCGUAAACGAUGAGUGCUAGUGUUAGGAGGGUUUCCGCCUCUUUUAGUGCUGCAGCAAACGCAUAAGCACUCCUGCCUG
rnacentral:rRNA from 1 species